UAGGGAAUCUUCGGCAAUGGACGAAAGUCUGACCGAGCAACGCCGCGUGAGUGAAGAAGGUUUUCGGAUCGUAAAACUCUGUUGGUAGAGAAGAACGUUGGUGAGAGUGGAAAGCCCAUCAAGUGACGGUAACUACCCAGAAAGGGACGGCUAACUACGUGCCAGCAGCCGCGGUAAUACGUAGGUCCCGAGCGUUGUCCGGAUUUAUUGGGCGUAAAGCGAGCGCAGGUGGUUUAUUAAGUCUGGUGUAAAAGGCAGUGGCUCAACCAUUGUAUGCAUUGGGAAGCUGGUAGACUUGAGUGCAGGAGAGGAGAGUGGAAUUCCAUGUGUAGCGGUGAAAUGCGUAGAUAUAUGGAGGAACACCGGUGGCGAAAGCGGCUCUCUGGCCUGUAACUGACACUGAGGCUCGAAAGCGUGGGGAGCAAACAGGAUUAGAUACCCUGGUAGUCCACGCGUAAACGAUGAGUGCUAGAUGU
rnacentral:rRNA from 1 species